rnacentral:misc_RNA from 1 species
GCCCCACAUGAACAUUGUUUGAAGAUUUAAAGUGUUACUUAUUUUUCCCUUGUGAUUAAAUGUUCAAAUUCUUGACAAAUAUCUAUAUAUAUUUUUCACCUUCUUCAAUUUACUGCCAUCUCUCGUCUCUUCUUCCGGCCAUUCCCAGGCGGCGGGUCAGACUUUCCGGCAUCCAAGGGAAAAUUCAACUUAGCCUUUCUUCCCCUUAUCUUAAAAGCGGCAGAAUCGUAGGCCUUAGCCGCAUCAACAUCCGAAUCAAAAGUCCCCAACCAAACCCUACUCCCUUUCCUACUCGGAUCUCGAAUCUCCGCCGCGAACUUCCCCCACGGCCGCCGCCGAACCCCUCUGUAACGCCUCCCCCCGUCCGAACUUGAAGUCGCCUCGGACGAGCUCGAUCGCGGCGACUGUUGUUCCUGGCGACUCUGAAUCGGAGGCUCUUCCUCUUCCGACGGUUUCAAGUACUUGAAAUCUUCGAAUUCGAGUUUG